rnacentral:rRNA from 1 species
UUGGAGGGCAAGUCUGGUGCCAGCAGCCGCGGUAAUUCCAGCUCCAAUAGCGUAUAUUAAAGUUGUUGCAGUUAAAAAGCUCGUAGUUGAAUUUCGGGAUCAAGGGAUCGGUCAUGCCUUGGUAUGUACUGGUCUUAUUGGUUCUCACCUUCUAAAGAACCAUGAUGUCAUUCAUUUGAUGUUAUGGGGAAUUAGGACUGUUACCUUGAAAAAAUUAGAGUGUUUAAAGCAAGCUUACGCUUGAAUACAUUAGCAUGGAAUAAUGAAAUAGGACAUCAGAUUCUAUUUUGUUGGUUUCUAGGAUCGAUGUAAUGAUUAAUAGGGAUAGUUGGGGGCAUUAGUAUUCAAUUGUCAGAGGUGAAAUUCUUGGAUUUAUUGAAGACUAACUACUGCGAAAGCAUUUGCCAAGGAUGUUUUCAUUAAUCAAG